UUCCACUCUGCGUCUUGGUCCGAUCCCUACACCUCCUCUUCAGACGAAGAGGAGGAAAUCUGCCGUAACAGAGUGCUGGUCUUAUUAUGAGGUGUGAGGUCUUUAAUGUUGGUCCAGGUUGGCCAGCCGGCCCCAGUGGCCACCCUCUUGCCCUGUUUCACCCGAACACUUUGAUCGCACACACAUAACAUACACACACACAUUCCCCCUUGAAAACUACAGUAACGAACAAACAACAGGUUAAUCUUCAGACAGUUUAAAAUGCUGCCGAUGUUGUUUUCUCUUUACUCUACAGCAUGUCCCUCACUUCUUCUAUAAUUGCACACUUGCCAGAUAAUUAAAAAAAAAAAUACACUUUGGAAAGUUGAAAAGUGUCCCCUGAGAAAGAGGCGUCCUGGGCCAAAGCUUCAGUGUUUCCUGUGCUGUGUGUUGCUGGGGUCUAAAAUUCAGCAAGUACUGUACUGUAUUAGGAAGUAGAGAGGUGAUAAAGUAGCAGUAAGUACUGUCCUGUAUUAGGAAGUAGAGAGGUGAUACAGUAGCAGUAAGUACUGUNCUGUAUUAGGAAGUAGAGAGGUGAUACAGUAGCAGUAAGUACUGUCCUGUAUUAGGAAGUAGAGAGAUGAUAACGUAYGAGGAUGUACUGUAUUAGGAAGUAGAGAGAUGAUAAAGUAGCAGUAAGUACUGUCCUGUAUUAGGAAGUAGAGAGGUGAUACAGUAGCAGUAAGUACUGCCCUGUAUUAGGAAGUAGAGAGGUGAUAAAGUAGGAGGAUGUACUGUAUUAGGAAGUAGAGAGGUGAUAAAGUAGGGGGAUGUACUGUAUUAGGAAGUAGAGAGGUGAUAAAGUAGGA